GACGAACGCUGGCGGCGUGCCUAAUACAUGCAAGUUGAGCGCUGAAGGUUGGUACUUGUACCAACUGGAUGAGCAGCGAACGGGUGAGUAACGCGUGGGGAAUCUGCCUUUGAGCGGGGGACAACAUUUGGAAACGAAUGCUAAUACCGCAUAAAAACUUUAAACACAAGUUUUAAGUUUGAAAGAUGCAAUUGCAUCACUCAAAGAUGAUCCCGCGUUGUAUUAGCUAGUUGGUGAGGUAAAGGCUCACCAAGGCGAUGAUACAUAGCCGACCUGAGAGGGUGAUCGGCCACAUUGGGACUGAGACACGGCCCAAACGGCUACGGGAGGCAGCAGUAGGGAAUCUUCGGCAAUGGACGAAAGACUGACCGAGCAACGCCGAGUGAGUGAAGAAGGUUUUCGGGUCGUAAAACUCUGUUGGUAGAGAGGAACGUUGGUGAGAGUGGAAAGCACAUCAAGUGACGGUAACUACCCAGAAAGGGACGGCUAACUACGUG
rnacentral:rRNA from 1 species